rnacentral:lncRNA from 1 species
AUAAAGAAAGAUGUAAAGAUAUAUGAAGGGUGAGAUAAGAUAAAACUUACAGAAUUGUUUAACAAAAGAGUUCAAAAUAAAAACAUGGCCUAGAUCUUAGACAAUCUGUAUGGGUAUAAUUAUGGUUUAGCCAUUACACUUUACAAUGAUUGAAAACUAUAUAGGUAGCUGGAAACCUAAAGGUAAUUAGCUAAUGUGGUCCAAGAAAUAAAAUUACAUGUAGUGGGGGUUCUAAUCUUGUUACUUCCAGGUAUUUUACUACCAAAUCUUUGUAUGCUGAACCAGAACUUAGGAAGCGUUUGUUUCGUGAAAAUGUAACGUAAUCGAACGGGCGUUAAACGAUAUCGUUACACAUGUUUGUUUCAACCAUCUCCGUAAUCUGAUUCCACGUAAUCGGAUACCAGCUAGUAAACAUCCCAUUACCCCCCUCCCUCCCCGGUAUCACAACAUUUACGCCAUCCCCGACACUUCUCGCGAUAACGUUGCCCACUUCUUUUCCCCAUCGCUCCAUCUCGCGUAGCGCCUAGUGCGCCGCCUGCGCCGCUCCUCGCGAGCUGCUUCAUCGGUGACCACAUGCCACCGCGGUGAGCCUGUGCUCCUUCCCCCUCUCACUCCCUCUGUCCCUCGUCCGCAUACAAGAGCAAUUUAUUUCCCAUCCUUCUCUCAAAUCCUC